UCUAACCUACCUACCUACCUACCUUCCUUUGGUGAAUAGGUACCUGACUCAUGAUGUCAUGUGUCAACGUAACAGACCGCACAUGUCGAAUAAACUGAUACCUGGUAAACAUCAGGUAACAGGUACCAUUCCUAGCAAAUAUAUCAUGUAAUCUGAAACAAAUGGCUUGACCAUGCAUCUUCACAUGUAGGUACUUAGUUACCUACAUAAGUAGGUGGGAAUUGCAUCAUAAUUAUCAUGACCGCAAUGACACAUCGCACCAAUUAUGACGUGCACAAGAGAUGCACGAUGCAGUCAACCAGUUUUUUUUUUCUACAAAUGUACCUACUGGUUUACGGCACCUGUAUAUUAGUUAUGUUUGAAGAACCUCUCAUUUUUACAGAUCUGCUGUGAGCUGCACCGUUAAAAAAGUUAUCGAGAACGACUUCCAAGAAGUCCGUUGCGAUAAAGUAUUCGAAGCGAUGCGCCAGUGCUGCAUUAAGUUCAAGCCGUUAGACGUGUCUCUUGUGUGCGAGGGCUACGACUUGGAACCGCGGAAGUACGCGCCGGUCACUGAUAGACCG